rnacentral:rRNA from 1 species
GAUGAACGCUGGCGGCGUGCCUAAUACAUGCAAGUCGAGCGAACAGACGAGAAGCUUGCUUCUCUGAUGUUAGCGGCGGACGGGUGAGUAACACGUGGAUAACCUACCUAUAAGACUGGGAUAACUUCGGGAAACCGGAGCUAAUACCGGAUGAUAUUUUGAACCGCAUGGUUCAAAAGUGAAAGACGGUCUUGCUGUCACUUAUAGAUGGAUCCGCGCUGCAUUAGCUAGUUGGUAAGGUAAUGGCUUACCAAGGCAACGAUGCAUAGCCGACCUGAGAGGGUGAUCGGCCACACUGGAACUGGGACACGGUCCAGACUCCUACGGGAGGCAGCAGUAGGGAAUCUUCCGCAAUGGGCGAAAGCCUGACGGAGCAACGCCGCGUGAGUGAUGAAGGUCUUCGGAUCGUAAAACUCUGUUAUUAGGGAAGAACAUAUGUGUAAGUAACUGUGCACAUCUUGACGGUACCUAAUCAGAAAGCCACGGCUAACUACGUG